rnacentral:rRNA from 1 species
GACGAACGCUGGCGGCGUGCUUAACACAUGCAAGUCGAACGGAAAGGCCCUGCUUUCAGGGUACUCGAGUGGCGAACGGGUGAGUAACACGUGGGUGGUCUGCCCUGCACUUCGGGAUAAGCCUGGGCAACUGGGUCUAAUACCGGCUAGGAACCAUUUUUAGUGGGAUGGUUGGAAAGUUUUGUCGGUGUAUGAUGAGCUCGCGGCCUAUCAGCUUGUUGGUUGGGUAAUGGCCUACCAAGGCGGCGAGGGGUAGCCGGCCUGAGAGGGUGGCCGGCCAUACUGGGACUGAGGUAAGGCACAGACUGCUAAGGGAGGCAGCUGGGGGGAAGAUUGCACAAUGGGCACAAGCCGGAUGCAGAGACGCCGCGUGUGGGAUGACGGUCUUAGGGUUGUAAACUCAUUUCGCUAGUGACGAAGCUUUUUGUGACGGUACCUAGAGAAGAAGCACCGGCUAACUACGUG